rnacentral:rRNA from 1 species
GAUGAACGCUGGCGGCGUGCCUAAUACAUGCAAGUCGAGCGAACGGACGAGAAGCUUGCUUUUCUGAUGUUAGCGGCGGACGGGUGAGUAACACGUGGAUAACCUACCUAUAAGACUGGGAUAACUUCGGAAAACCGGAGCUAAUACCGGAUAAUAUUUUGAACCGCAUGGUUCAAAAGUGAAAGACGGUCUUGCUGUCACUUAUAGAUGGAUCCGCGCUGCAUUAGCUAGUUGGUAAGGUAACGGCUUACCAAGGCAACGAUGCAUAGCCGACCUGAGAGGGUGAUCGGCCACACUGGAACUGAGACACGGUCCAGACUCCUACGGGAGGCAGCAGUAGGGAAUCUUCCGCAAUGGGCGAAAGCCUGACGGAGCAACGCCGCGUGAGUGAUGAAGGUCUUCGGAUCGUAAAACUCUGUUAUUAGGGAAGAACAUAUGUGUAAGUAACUGUGCACAUCUUGACGGUACCUAAUCAGAAAGCCACGGCUAACUACGUG